GACGAACGCUGGCGGCGUGCUUAACACAUGCAAGUCGAACGGUGAAGCUCCAGCUUUCUGCCUUUGAUCAUUGCCGCACGCGUGUGUAUCACGUGUGGAACACCCCCCUAUCUCUGUGAUAAGCCUUCGAAACGCCGUCUCUAACUGCAUAUGAUAUGUUUCCGCAUGGGGUCUUUCUGUAAAGUUGUUCGUUUGUGGAUGUUCUCGCUGCCUCUCCGCUUGUUUGGGAGGUUAUGGCUGACAAAGGCUACGACGGGUAGCCUGCCUGAGAGGGCUACCGGGCACAAUGGGACUGAGAGACGGCGCAGAAGGGUACGGGAGGCAGCAGUGGAGAGUAUUGCACAAUGGGCGAAAGCCAGAGGCAGCGACGCCGGGUGAGGGAUGACGGGCUACGGGUUGAAAACAACUUUCAGAAGGGAAGAAGAGAAAGUGACGGUACCUACAGAAGAAGCAACGGCUAACUACGUG
rnacentral:rRNA from 1 species